rnacentral:rRNA from 1 species
ACGAACGCUGGCGGCGUGCUUAACACAUGCAAGUCGCACGGUGAAGCGCUUUCCUUUUUGGUUGGUGUGGAUGAGUGGCGAACGGGUGAGUAACACGUGAGUAACCUGCCCCCUUCUUCUGGAUAACCGCAUGAAAGUGUGGCUAAUACGGGAUAUUCUGCGCCUGCUGCAUGGUGGGUGUGGGAAAGAUUGUGCCUUUGGGUGUUUUCGGUGGGGGAUGGGCUCGCGGCCUAUCAGCUUGGUGGUGGGGUGAUGGCCUACCAAGGCGGUGACGGGUAGCCGGCCUGAGAGGGUGGACGGUCACACUGGGACUGAGACACGGCCCAGACUCCUACGGGAGGCAGCAGUGGGGAAUAUUGCACAAUGGGCGCAAGCCUGAUGCAGCGACGCCGCGUGAGGGAUGGAGGCCUUCGGGUUGUGAACCUCUUUCGCCAGUGAAGCAGGCCUGCUCCUUGUGGGUGGGUUGACGGUAGCUGGAUAAGAAGCGCCGGCUAACUACGUG